CAAGAAACUAAAAUUAAAAUAAUACAAGACUAACAAAGGCCAGAGGCUCCUGACUUGGAACAGGCGCAAAAAUGCGGCGGGGUUAAACAUGUUUGUGAGAUCUCAACCCUCCCCCUAUACCUCUAGCCAAUGUAGAAAAGUAAACGCAUAACAAUACGCACAUUAAAAUUCAGUUCAAGAGAAGUCCGAGUCUGAUGUCAGAAGAUGUAACCAAAGA
rnacentral:lncRNA from 1 species